rnacentral:rRNA from 1 species
UACGGGGGGAGCAAGCGUUGUUCGGAUUUACUGGGCGUAAAGGGCGCGUAGGCGGCGUAACAAGUCACUUGUGAAAUCUCCGGGCUUAACCCGGAGCGGCCAAGUGAUACUGUUGUGCUAGAGUGCGGAAGGGGCUACUGGAAUUCUCGGUGUAGCGGUGAAAUGCGUAGAUAUUGGGAAGAACACCGGUGGCGAAAGCGCUCUGCUGGACCUGCACUGACACUGAGGGACGAAAGCUAGGGGAGCGAAUGGG